rnacentral:rRNA from 1 species
CCUACGGGAGGCAGCAGUGAGGAAUAUUGGUCAAUGGGCGCGAGCCUGAACCAGCCAAGUAGCGUGAAGGAUGACUGCCCUACGGGUUGUAAACUUCUUUUAUAAAGGAAUAAAGUGAGGCACGUGUGCCUUUUUGUAUGUACUUUAUGAAUAAGGAUCGGCUAACUCCGUGCCAGCAGCCGCGGUAAUACGGAGGAUCCGAGCAUUAUCCGGAGUGACUGGGUGUAAAGGGUUGCGGGAGAGGGAUAAUAAGUAGCUAGUGAAAUCUGGUGGCUCAACCAUUCAGACUAUUAGCUAAACUGUUAAGCUCGAGAACGUUAGGGGUAACUGGAAUUUCUGGUGUAGGAGUGAAAUCCGUAGAUAUUAGAAGGAACACCGAUAGCGUAGGCAGGUUACUAGGACGGUUCUGACACUAAGGCACGAAAGCGUGGGGAGCAAACAGGAUUAGAUACCCCUGUAGUC